AGGUCAAGUAUAAAAGGGCACAUGGUGGAUGCCUUGGCGCUUUAGGCCGAAGAAGGACGUGGAAAGCUGCGAAAAGCUGCGGAGAGCUGCAAGCAAGCUUCGACCCGCAGAUAUCCGAAUGGGGCAACCCGGCAGGAGAGAACUCCUGUCACCGUAUAGUGAACACAUAGCUGUACGGAGGGCACCCGGGGAACUGAAACAUCUCAGUACCCGGAGGAAAAGAAAGAAAACUCGAUUCCCUGAGUAGCGGCGAGCGAAAGGGGACUAGCCCAAACCGGUUGUGCUUGCAUAACCGGGGUUGUGGGACCUCAGAACGGGAUUAUCGAGCCUAGCCGAACACAGCUGGAAAGCUGGAGCACAGCAGGUAACACUCCUGUAGGCGAAAGGCAAAAUAACCCAAGAGGAAUCCCGAGUACCGCGGGACACGUGGAACCCCGUGGGAAUCCGGCAGGACCACCUGCCAAGGCUAAAUACCUAAAGCGACCGAUAGCGAACAAGUACCGUGAGGGAAAGGUGAAAAGCACCCCGGAAGGGGAGUGAAAUAGAACCUGAAACCAUGUGUCUACAAGCAGUCGAAGACCAAUUAACGGUCGACGGCGUACUUUUUGUAGAACGGACCGGCGAGUUACUUUAGCAAGCAAGGUUAAGGCGGAAAAGCUGAAGCCGUAGCGAAAGCAAGUCUGAAUAGGGCGCCAAGUUUGUUGGAGUAGACCCGAAACCGGGUGAUCUACCCAUGGCCAGAGUGAAGCUGAAGUAAAAUUCAGUGGAGGCUCGAACCGACCGUCGUUGAAAAGGCGGCGGAUGAGCUGUGGGUAGGGGUGAAAUGCCAAUCGAACCCGGAGAUAGCUGGUUCUCCCCGAAAUAGCUUUAGGGCUAGCCUCGGGGGUAAGUACCGGAGGUAGAGCACUGAAUGAGCUAGGGGCCUUCACCGGUUACCGAACUCAAUCAAACUCCGAAUACCGGAUACUUUAACCCCGGGAGUCAGACUGCGAGUGCUAAGAUCCGUAGUCGAGAGGGAAACAGCCCAGACCAACAGCUAAGGUCCCAAAGCAUGACUAAGUGGGAAAGGAUGUGGGGUUGCUUAGACAACCAGGAUGUUGGCUUAGAAGCAGCCACCAUUUAAAGAGUGCGUAAUAGCUCACUGGUCAAGUGACCCUGCGCCGAAAAUGUAACGGGGCUAAGUCAUGCACCGAAGCUUUGGA
rnacentral:rRNA from 1 species